rnacentral:rRNA from 1 species
UACGGAGGGUGCGAGCGUUGUCCGGAUUUAUUGGGUUUAAAGGGUGCGUAGGCGGCUUUUUAAGUCUGGGGUGAAAGCCCGCUGCUCAACAGCGGAACUGCCCUGGAUACUGGAGAGCUUGAGUACAGACGAGGUUGGCGGAAUGGACUGAGUAGCGGUGAAAUGCAUAGAUACAGUCCAGAACCCCGAUUGCGAAGGCAGCUGACUAGGCUGUUACUGACGCUGAGGCACGAAAGCGUGGGGAGCAAACAGG